UUUUUCCUACGGGGCGCAGCAGUGAGGGAUAUUGCACAAUGGGGGAAACCCUGAUGCAGCGACGCCGCGUGGGCGAAGAAGUAUUUCGGUAUGUAAAGCUCUAUCAGCAGGGAAGAAAAUGACGGUACCUGACUAAGAAGCUCCGGCUAAAUACGUGCCAGCAGCCGCGGUAAUACGUAUGGAGCAAGCGUUAUCCGGAAUUACUGGGUGUAAAGGGAGCGUAGGCGGCAAGGCAAGUCUGAUGUGAAAACCCAGGGCCCAACCCUGGGACUGCAUUGGAAACUGUAUUGCUUGAGUACCGGAGA
rnacentral:rRNA from 1 species